rnacentral:rRNA from 1 species
UUAAAUAGCCGCUUUUGUGCUAAGGUAGCAUAAUAAUUUGUCUUUUAAUUAAAGACUAGAACAAAAGGUUUAACAUCUCAAUUAAUGUUUAGUAAAAAACUAUUUAAAUUAUUUUAAUUGUUAAAAAACAAUUAUAAAAAAGAAAGACGAUAAGACCCUAUCGAACUUCACUUUAGUUUAACUGGGGUAGUUAAUUAAUUAUUAUUUUAAUAUAAUUAAACAUUCAAUUUGACCUAAUAUUAUUAAUAAAGUAAUUAAGUUACCGUAGGGAUAACAGCGUAAUAAAAUUUUUAAGACCUCAUUUAAAAUAAAGUUUACGACCUCGAUGUUGAUUUAAUAUCCUAAUUUACGCAAUAGUUAAUUAAGGAAGUCUGUUCGACUUUUAAAAAAUUACAUGAUCUG